rnacentral:rRNA from 1 species
UAUAUUAAAGUUGAUGAAGUUAAAAAGCUCGUAGUUGGAUUUCGGGGCGGCCCGGCCGGUCCGCCGCAAGGCGAGUACUGGUCGGGCGCCCUUCCUCUCGAAGGCUUCGACUGCUCUUGAUUGUGGUGGUCGAGGAGUUCGGGACGUUUACUUUGAAAAAAUUAGAGUGUUCAAGGCAGGCCGUGGCCUGAAUACAUUAGCAUGGAAUAAUGGAAGAGGACCUCGGUCCUAUUUUGUUGGUUUCCAGGGCCGAAGUAAUGAUUGAGAGGGACAGUUGGGGGCAUUCGUAUUUAAUUGUCAGAGGUGAAAUUCUCGGAUUUAUGAAAGACGAACAAGUGCGAAAGCAUUUGCCAAGGAUGUUUUCAUUAAUCAAGAACGAAAGUUGGGGGUUCGAAGACGAUCAGAUACCGUCGUAGUCCCAACCAUAAACUAUGCCGACUAGGGAUCGGCGGAUGUUAGCGUCUGACUCCGUCGGCACCUUACGAGAAAUCAAGAGUCUUUGGGUUCCGGGGGG